GAUGAACGCUGACAGAAUGCUUAACACAUGCAAGUCUUUGGCGAAGCUGUGCUUGCACAGCCUAGCCAAGGCGGACGGGUGAGUAACGCGUAAGGAACUUGCCCUGCAGUCAGGGAUAACAGACGGAAACGACUGAUAAGACCUGGUAAAGUCAGGCGGACUCAUGUCCAGCCUGAUGAAAAGAGGUGCUGCAGGAGAGCCUUGCGUCCUAUUAGCUUGUUGGUGGGGUAACGGCCCACCAGGGCGAUGAUAGGUAGCCGGCCUGAGAGGGUGGACGGCCACAAGGGGACUGAGAUACGGCCCUUACGCCUACGGGAGGCAGCAGUGGGGAAUAGUGGACAAUGGGGGCAACCCUGAUCCAGCAAUUCUGUGUGCACGAUGAAGGUUUUCGGAUUGUAAAGUGCUUUCAGCAGGGAAGAAAAAAAUGACGGUACCUGCAGAAGAAGCGACGGCUAAAUACGUG
rnacentral:rRNA from 1 species